UUCGCCAAUUAGGACUUCACAACAUGCGAAUACCACCACUUCUAUGGAUAUUCGUUGUUGAUGAAGUCUUAAUGGACGUC
rfam:Caenorhabditis briggsae complete genome, chrIII